rnacentral:rRNA from 1 species
GACGAACCGUGCGAACGUUGUUCGGAAUCACUGGGCUUAAAGGGCGCGUAGGCGGGCGGCCGCGUCCGGGGUGAAAUCCCACGGCUCAACCGUGGAACGGCCUCGGAUACGGGCGGCCUCGAGGGGGGUAGGGGCAUCUGGAACUGUGAGUGGAGCGGUGAGAUGCGUUGAUAUUCACAGGAACUCCGGUGGCGAAGGCGAGGUGCUGGACCCCAUCUGACGCUGAGGCGCGAAAGCCAGGGGAGCGAACGGG